AAUAGAUUGCCUGAAAAAGGAUUAUUUUGAUAGAAUAAAUUAUAUAAUUAAAUAUUAAUUAUAUCUAUUA